AACGAACGCUGGCGGCAUGCCUAACACAUGCAAGUCGAACGAGAUCUUCGGGUCUAGUGGCGCACGGGUGCGUAACGCGUGGGAAUCUGCCCUUUGGUUCGGAAUAACAGUUGGACACGACUGCUAAUACCGGAUGAUGACGAAAGUCCAAAGAUUUAUCGCCAGAGGAUGAGCCCGCGUAGGAUUAGCUAGUUGGUGUGGUAAAGGCGCACCAAGGCGACGAUCCUUAGCUGGUCUGAGAGGAUGAUCAGCCACACUGGGACUGAGAACACGGCCCAGACUCCUACGGGAGGCAGCAGUGGGGAAUAUUGGACAAUGGGCGAAAGCCUGAUCCAGCAAUGCCGCGUGAGUGAUGAAGGCCUUAGGGUUGUAAAGCUCUUUUACCCGGGAUGAUAAUGACAGUACCGGGAGAAUAAGCUCCGGCUAACUCCGUGCCAGCCGCCGCCGUAA
rnacentral:rRNA from 1 species